GACUCCUACGGGAGGCAGCAGUAGGGAGUAUUCGGCAAUGGAGGAAACUCUGACCGAGCAACGCCGCGUGAAUGACGAAGGUCUUCGGAUUGUAAAAUUCUGUUAUAUGGGAAGAAAGAUAAGAUAAGGAAAUGUAUUUUAUUUGACCGUACCAUAUGAGAAAGCCACGGCUAACUACGUGCCAGCAGCCGCGGUAAUACGUAGGUGGCAAGCGUUAUCCGGAAUUAUUGGGCGUAAAGAGAGAGCAGGCGGUUAUUCAAGUCUGAAGUGAAAAGCAGUGGCUUAACCAUUGUAGGCUUUGGAAACUAGAUAGCUAGAGUGCAAGAGAGGUUAGCGGAACUCCAUGUGUAGCGGUGAAAUGCGUAGAUAUAUGGAAGAACACCAGUGGCGAAGGCGGCUAACUAGCUUGAAACUGACGCUCAGUCUCGAAAGCGUGGGUAGCAAAUAGGAUUAGAUACCCUAGUAGUCCACGCUGUAAACGAUGAGCACUAGGUGUUGGGGAAACUCAGCGCCGAAGUUAACACAAUAAGUACUCCGCCUGGGUAGUACGUUCGCAAGAAUGAAACUUAAAGGAAUUGACGGGGGCCCGCACAAGCAGUGGAGCAUGUGGUUUAAUUCGACGCUACGCGAAGAACCUUACCAGGACUUGACAUCUGAUUAAAGGCUCUAGAGAUAGAGAGAUAGUUAUAGUCAAGACAGGUGGUGCAUGGUUGUCGUCAGCUCGUGUCGUGAGAUGUUGGGUUAAGUCCCGCAACGAGCGCAACCCUCGUCCUUAGUUGCCAGCAGUAAGAUGGGAACUCUAAGGAGACCGCCGGUAUAAGCCGGAGGAAGAUGGGGAUGACGUCAAAUCAUCAUGCCCUUUAUGUCCUGGGCGACACACGUGCUACAAUGGCCGGUACAAAGAGAAGCAAGACCGCGAGGUGGAGCGAAUCUCAUAAAGCCGGUCUCAGUUCGGAUUGGAGUCUGCAACUCGACUACAUGAAGUUGGAAUUGCUAGUAAUCGCGAAUCAGCAUGUCGCGGUGAAUACGUUCCCGGGCCUUGUACACACCGCCCGUCAAACCAUGAGAGCUGGUUUUACUCGAAGUCGUUAUUCUAACCGAAAGGGGGAAGGCGCCUAAGGUAGGACUGGUGAUUGGGGUUAAGUCGUAACAAGGUAUCCCUACGGGAACGUGGG
rnacentral:rRNA from 1 species